ACUAACCUCAUAAAGUUCAGUCAGAAAUUCAAAUGCUGAUAUUUAUAAAGAAAAUAAUUUUAAACAACAUUCAGGAAUAAUUUUUGGAAAAAUGGCAAAGUAACCACAGCAGAUGUUAUCUAGAAAAGUAAAACAUUCAAAGUAAACCAACACCUUACAAAGUAACCAUUUAGCAAUGCUGAGGUUUAAUUAUUCAGUCUGGGUGUCUGCAGUGUCACAGCUGGCCAGGAGUUAGCUGUGGGCAGCACUGCAGUCCUCUGAUGCUCCAGAUGAACGGCUAAAUAAUCACAGAGCAACACUUACUGUUCAGUGCCUGAUCGUCUGCCUCUGUGUCCAGCGUCUGCAUCACUCCAUCACAUCUGCUUGCAGCCAUCGUCCAAUGCUGCCGUUGCCCCUCAUGAUGCAGAAGGAGGACUUUCUCUUCGUCCACAGCUCCUGCCUGACACACACCGACUCGGCCUUACCAUCUCCACCUCUGUACCCGUUACACGGCAGACGUGCAGUAGGACACCUUAAGAGCAGCUACUUCUCUUGGCACUGUUUCUGCAUCUGACAAAGUGCCUGGAGAAGAGCUUAAUCACAGCAGUGGCCUCCCUGCCACCAAGACUGACAAAGAUCCUCAGUGAAGCACAAGCACAAGUUUCUCAUUAAACUGAAUGCUAAAGCAUUAAACUGAAUGCUUAAGCAUUCAGUUUAAUGCAAUGUUCAUUGUUGACAGUUUAAUAAAUCCGACACUGAUGGCACAGUGCUGUGUAUUACGACUUUUUUUUUUACCAAAGAUUAUUUGCGCUGGUUAGGGGGUACUUGGCUGAAAAAAGUAUUUCACAGACGGUACAUCACUGAAAAAAGGUUGAGAACCACUGCUAUAUAGUAUGCUGUAUAUUCUCACACUUCAGUUGUAGUAUGCAUGAUAUUUGUCGCGCUCGGUUUACAUGGAAAACUGACCAGUCCCGUUGAAGCAUGUGGCAAUGAUUUGUGUGUUUCGUGAGAUAUUUGUAUUUCUGUCACUGUUACCUUCCCCAGAUUGUAUGUGUAUUUAAAAAUUUUUUUUGUAGUUGAUCAGUUUCUUCGUAAACUCUUCAAAACAGAAACAUUUACAUGCCAGGAGUGAACUUUGCACUGAAGAGUUUUAUUGACGGCUCGUUUUACUGGCACUAUUUUUCCCUUUUGCAGACAUUUUGUUUUACUUUGCACAUUGUACACUAAAAUAACUUUUUAUUUCUGUUUUCUUUUGUUUUUGUAAAAACACCGCCGCUCUGUUUCUGUCAUACGAAGUAUGCUUUAGCAGAACUGAACAAACGUGCUGGCCCCGGCCCCCCAAGCUGCCUCUUUUGGAUGGAGGUGUUGACGAUCUGUUGUGGGCCCGGACCACUCCUCUUGUUUUAUGUUGUGGAAAUGUUAACCGGCCAUAUGCAAUAUGGUCAAGUUCAAGUUCGAACAAUAUGGUCAAGUUCGGGCAGUAUGGUCAAGUUCAAAUGCGAGCAAUAUGGUCAAGUUCAAGAUCGGGCAAUAUAGACACGUUCAAGUUCGAACAGUAUGGUCAAGUCAGUAUGGUCACGCUGAAGUUCGGGCAUUGUGGUCAAGUUCAAGUCCAAAUGAUAUGAACAGGUUCAAGUUCGAGCAAUACGAUCUGUUGUGGACCCGGACCACUCCUCUUGUUUCAUGUUGUGGAAAGUCAACAACAAAUGUAUUUCUAGGUGAUGGUUUGUUUUCAACUGUGCAAUGACUGAGGACUUCCUUUUUCCCUGAAGCCACUUUGACAACCGCCCGUCGUUAUUUAUUUUCAGAUUCUGUUCGUUUGUAUGAAAACCGUGUGCCUCAUCUGUCCAUCCAGCGUCUUUGUCCUGAAUGAUUUCGGUUGUCUCAUUAAAGACUGACAUGGAUCUUGUUUGGCAAAGAA